UCCACCAGAUCACAUUUCCUGGGCCUGCCAGGUUCAAGCUCCAGCAUGACAAUGUCUUGGAUUCUAUGGAGGUCUAACCAGACUCCUGUGGAACCAAACUUUGCUUAAAAAACAAAAGCAUUCCGUUGUUACUCUGGAGCAGCACGCUUUGCAGUGGCAACAUGUCUGGCUGUUCUGCUCUCAAGUGUGCAAGAGCCAUGGGGACUCUUUCUUACUUGUGUUCAACUUGAAAUUCUGGCCUGCCUGUGUUUGGUUUUUGGACUUAGGAGGGAGAAGCCCAGAAACAUGUUGGAAGUUCUGGGGAUUAAACCUGCAGUCUUGCUCAUGUUAGGCAAGAGCUCUACCACUGAGCCAGGGAUCUACUACAUCCCUGCCCCUGACAAAUUGGAUAGUGUAAAAGAAAGCAUCAGUGAAGAUGAAGACUUAAGUACAGAAGUUAAUGAAUAGGAAUCAUAGACAGAAAAAAAUAAGUUACGAGUUGAAUAGAACACACUUCUGGUGAAAAAGAAGAACUAAGAAAAGCUUAAUAAACUAAAAUAAACUUUUCUUAGAUCUGUCAGAGAAAUUAAUUUGCAUGAAAACUACUGUGCAAAAUACUGGAGAGAUGGAUAGGCUGAUGCAGUGAGUGAUUGCCUACUGCAAUAGAAACUCUUGGGCUGAAACUUCCCUGGGGAAGAGAAAUGUGCUGGGGAAGAGAAACGUGAACUGUAACUGAAGAUCUGCUGGGACCUCCAGACAGACAGGGGCAAAGGAAGAAAACUCCAGGGGGACCUAGUGACAGGCAAAUGGAGAUGCCCCUAUGUUUAUGAGUUUUUUCUUCAGGAGCUUGGCCAGGCCUAGCAGAGAAAAAUUGCUUCGUGUUCCUGGCAAGAGAAGGUGCAAAAGAAUCUGUUUAAAGCAAGCCAGAGCAUUUUGUUCCGCUUAAGGAGACCUUCCUUCCCCUUCAGGAGAGACUUCUGCACAGUACCACCUGCUUAGCUCCUAUUAGGGCCUAAGCUUCUCAGGGAAAGGCAAACUCCAAAUUCCACCUGGCCCUCACCUUCAACAUGGAAGAAGGGAAGUGGGCAGCUGCAGUUUCCACAGACAUCCUAUUUUACCUGAGACACGGUAAACCAAAAUGCACGAGUGAAAUCCACAGUCCAGCGGCACAAGCUGGUGGGAAGACCACCUCAUCGCAGGACAAUGCAUGGUUUCCCCUCCCACCCCUCACCACCACCUCCUAAGGGCUGCUGUUUGCAGUUCAUUUUACCCAGAACAUCACAUUCACAUUUCAACAAAAAAUUAAAAGCCAUACAGAAUCCCCCAAAAUAGUUUAAGGAGAUGAAAACAAUCAUAGAAGCACAGCAGAGAUGUUGGGGAACCAUAGCAAAGAUAUUGGGGAAAUUUUUUAAAACUAUGCUUAAUAUGCUUAGAACUGUAAUGGAAAAAAUAGAACAUGCAGGAAUAGAUGGAUAAGAAAGGAGAGAAGUGCAAAUUCUGAGAAUGCAAAAGAAAUUGAAGAAAUUUGUUGCCAGACUUGGCUUUCCAGAAACGUUAAAAUAAGUUCUCCAGAGAGAAUUAAAAGUCAAAAUGUAAAAAACAAAAACAAAAACACCUAGAUGGGUUAAAGAAGGGAAGAGCACCAGAGAAAAGAUGGCUAAAGAUAAACACCUUUUGUAUUUUAACUUCAUUUACCAGGUAAACCUUGUCUAAGAUAGUAACAGCAAUGUAUUUGAUUGUGUAUGUGUGUGUUUAGUGUGCACAUCUGUGCUUACUUGUAAGUAAAUGAAAGACAGCAAUGGUUCAGGAAACAGCAGAGAGGAAUUUGAAAUAUUUUGUUGUAAAAUGUGCUUACAACGUGACUAUUAAUUAAAAGUGGACUUGGAUUAGUUGUCAAUGUACUGCAAACUCUAGUGUAACCACUAUAUAUAUUAACAAGCAAAUUACAAGUGAUCAAGAUGUGAUAUAUAUAUAUGCGACUUCCCCAAUAAAUAUAAUUAUUAUACUAAUACUAGUAAUAAAUAUAUACUAAUAAGACAUUUAAAAAUAUAAAUUAAACAAUGCCUACUCUUAGACCAUAACAGAAUUAAAUUAAAAACCAGUAACAGAAACACGUUCUUAAAAUUCUCAAACAUUUGCAGCUCAAACAAUUCACUUUUAAAUAAUACAUGGCUCAAAAAAAGAAAUUUCAAAAAAUACUUCAAACUAGAUGCAGAUGAAAAUAAAACUUACCAAAAUUUGUGGGAAUGCAUCAAAAGUAGUACUUAAAGGGAAAUUAUAGCAUUGAAUUAAUGUAAUAGAAAAAAUUGAAAGAUUUAAAAUCAGUAACAUAAGCUUUUAUCUUAGGCAACUAAAGAAAAAUGAACAAAUUAAAUUCAAGGUAAACAAGAAGAAAUGAAAUCAUGGAAAUUAAAGUAGAAACAAAUAUAAUUCAAAACAAAAUUCAAUUGAAAUUUCAAUAAAGUCAACAUAUUGAUAAAACAUGGACAUACUGAUAAAACAUAUAAUAUCAGGCUGGGGAUUUAGCUCAGUGGCAUAAGCACCUGUCUGGUAAACGCAAGGUUGUGAGUUCAAUCCCUGGUACAGCCAAAAAAAAAAAAAAAAAAGAAAUAAAGAAAACAAAUUAUUAAUAUCAGAAAUGUAAGAGAACAUUGCUACAGUUUAAAGACACAUUCAGGUGAAAAUAUGAGGCCACUAUAAUAAAUCUAUGCCCACUAAUUUGACAACCUGGAUGAAACAGUUCAAGUUCUUCAAAGACACAAUCCUUAGAACUCUUAAGAGAAGAAAUAGACAAGCUGAAUAGGUUUGUAUUUACUGAAAGAAAGGAAAUCAGUAGUUAAUAACUUUCUAAAGCAAAAAAACACCAGGAUCAGAUUUAUAUUGUAAUUCUACACUUAAGGAAGAAAUUUUGUUGAUUUACUACAAGAUCUUCCAGAAAACAGAAGCAGAAGUAAUUCUUUAAUUUAUUCUUUAAAGCCAAUAUUAAUACCCAAAUCAAAGAAAAAUCUUAGCGUAAACUCUGACUAAUAGCUCUCAUGAAAAUCGAAGUAAAAAUUCUUAGCAAAGUAUUUACAAAAUCAAAUCCAACAAUAUAUAUCAUAGCUAACUGGAGUUCCCUGAAGUAUGUACAUAGAUCUCAGCACUCAGAAAACAGUUAACGUAAUCUACCAUAUUAAUCGACUAAAAAAGAAAUUUGCACAAUUAUGACAAUCAACACACAAAAAACAUUUGACAAAAUCCAACACCCUUUCAUAAUUCUUAUGCAGCAAACUAGGAACAGAGGGGAUCUUCUUCAGUUUGACAAAGAACGUGUAUAGGUAACCUAUAGCUAACACCAUGUUUAGUGAUGAGACACCAGAAACAUAUCUACUAAGAUCAGACACAAGGCAACAGUGUCUCCUGUCCUCACUGCUUCUUAAUGUCAUACAGGAAGCUCUGGAUAAAGACAAAAAAAAAAAAAAAAAAAAAAAAAAAGAAAGAAAAAAGAAAGAAAAUGUAUACAGAUUAGAAAGGAAAAAAUAAAACUUUCUUUCCAGAUUUUACAUGACAUUAUUAUCUAUGGAAAAAACCCAGAAGAAUCUAAACUAAAAAGUGAUUACAGCACAAAUGUAGGAUAUAAGGUUAAUUUACAUAGGACCAUCAAAUUCCUUGAAUAAACAAAUGGAAUUUGAAGUAAAAAAUAUAUUACUAUUUACAUCAUCACCCUGAAAAAUGAAAUAGUAGAGUACAAAUACAAAAAAAUUUGUAUAAGGACUGUAUGAUGAAAACUAUAACAUUCUAAUGAAAAUAUCAAAGAAUUAAAUAAAUGGAGAGAUAGUUCCUAUUCAUGGAUAGGAAGGUAUACAUUCCUCCUAACUUGAUCUAAAGACUGAAUGCAGUACAAUACCUAUUAAAAUCCCAGCAAGUUAUUUUAUGGACAUGACAAAGUUAUUCUAAAGAGGCAAAAACCCCAGAAUAGUCCUCAUAAUAUUGAGUAAGAACAAAGUUGAAGGAUUGGUGUUCUCCACUUCAAUUCUUGCUAGGAAGAUAUCGUAACUGAAACUGAACAUACUCAACUGCUUUUGACAGAGAAGCAAAGGUGAUACAAUGGAGAAUAAAGAUUUUAUUUUCAACAUGUGGUCCUAGAAUAAUUGGAAUCCACGUAGGAAAAAUGAUUACAUACUUUAUUUACACCCUCUGAAAAAACUUACCCAAAGCUGAUCAGAUCUAAAUGCAAAAUAUAAAACUCCUUGGGGACAACAGAGGGGGAAAACCUAGAUGGUUUAGAUUUGUUGGAUGUUGACUUGUAUAAACAACAUGAAAUGUACAAUCCAUAAAAGAAAUAAGCAAUAAACUAGAUUUCAUUAAAAUAAAAAAUUUGCCUUCUGUAAAAAGCCAGUGUUAAUGAAAAUGAAAAGGUAAGCCCCAAGUGAGAGAAAUAUUUGUAAAUAAGACAGUUAUGCAAAGUAUACAAAUACAUCUUCAAAUUCAACAAUAAGAAAAUGAACAGUCCAUUUUAAAAAGUCAGCCAAAGAUGUUAACAAAAAACCCAACUAAGAAGAUAUACAGACAUGUCAUUAGGGAAUUGUAAUUAAAACAACACUGAGAUAUCACUAAAUACUUAUUAAAAUAGUGAAAAUACAAAACAAUGCUAUCCCAAAUGCUGGUGAGGUUGUGGAGCAAAAGGAAAUCUCAUUCAUUGCUGGGGGAAUGCACAAAUGGGGCGGCCACUUCGGAAAACAGUUUGACAGUUUCUAACCAAAAUUUAACAUACUCUCACUACAUGAUCUAGCAAUCUGGCUCCUUUGUAUUAACCCAAGUGAAAUGAAAAUACAUCUAUGUAAAAUCUUCAUAUGCAUGCUCAUGGGUUUAUUCAUAAUCGUUAAGACUUAAAAAGCAGUUAAAGUGUUUUAGUAGGUGAAUGAAUACAGAAACUCUGAUGUAUCCAGAUAAGUGGAAUGUUAACUAAGAAAAUAAUGAGCUACCAAGCUGUGAAAAGACAUGGAGGAAACUUCAGUGCAUAUUACUAAGUGAAAAAAGAGAAUCAGAGUAAGUCAUAUAUACUAUGAUUUCAAACUGUGUGACAUUGUGGAAGAGACAAAACUAUGAAGAUAAUGAAUAGAGCAUGGGUUGCCAGGACUAUCAGGGAGCAAAGUAUGAAUGGGCAGAGCAUGAAAUAUUUGUAGGGUAGUGAAACCAUUCUGCACUGUACAAAAAUGGUAGAUGCAUGCUGUUGAAACCUACAGAAUGACACCAGAAGUGACCUCCAAUGGAAACUAUGUGUGGACUUUGGAGAUUUCGAUAUGUCAGUGUGUGUGUGUGCGUGUGUAUAGGUAAGGUGCCUAGAAUUUUGUGCUCUCCAGCCAGGUUUGCUGUGAACGUAAAACUACUCUUAAAAAAUAAUAUUAAUUUUAAAUUUUGAAAAAUAAACAGUAUUCAUAGAAUUACUGGACUUGGUUUGGAUUUCAAUGAACUAUGUAAAUUAACACAUUAGGAGUUUCAAAAAGUAGGACAAUGUAUGUUGUGUAAAAGAAAGUUACUGCACAAUAUAAAAAUAAUUCUUAAGUAAAUCAAGAGAGGCUUGAACGCCUAUAACGCUAUCAAAAUAGAGGCCAGAGCAAAGAAGGAAUAAAGUAAUGCAAAAGGUAACAGAAAGGAGUCAAAUAAUUAAGAAGAUAUAGCAGUUAGAAAUUCUUAUGAACCAGGCAGUAGAAUUUCAAACAGCAUAUCACAAGGGAAACUGGAAGCUGAAGACAAGGGGGAAGGGAUGAAAGAUGAUGAAGAUAUGAUAUGUAUAUGUACUGGUUCCCCAAAAGGAAUGCAAUUAUUGUGUAUGAUGUUAAUUGCUCCAGUUAAUAGAAGCAGCAACUCAGGAUGUUUGAGAAGUACAAUGGCACCACAGUUAACAGGUACAUUCAAAAGAGGGGACUGGGAAGCUGGUACAAACACAUGAUGGACAGCUGCUUGAUGACGAAAAGGAAAGGACUAUUGUAUGCAGUAAUGUGGAUGAGUCUCAAAACAAUCCGCAGUCCAAAAUAUACAAAAGACCUCAUACAUUAUGACUAUACUUUUUAGAAACAAAAUGCUAGAAUAGGCGUAUGUAUACUCUACCUUGAUCAAAGGCAGACAGCGGGGUGCUGAGCAGAAGUGGUAAAGACUGAAUACACAGGAGCAUGAGGCAACCCCAGGUGCUGAAAAUAACCUUUAUCCUCACUGUUCGAUGGUUCCACAGUUUUAAAAAUGUAUUUAACAAUACAUUUACAACUGUUUUAUUCUAUAUAAACUAUAUUUUAAGAGUCAAUUAAAAUAUGACUUUGAAAUUCCAAAUAAUAAAAGGAAGCUCAUAAAAUGUAGAUUCAAAUUAAUAAACUCAAGAUUUUUUGACUUUCCAUUAUCUUGAUUUAAAGCCCUGUAUUACUCUCACCAUCUUGUUUUUGACUGAUGUCCCCCUAUUCUGUUUUGCUUGAUAGUACCAAGUUCGAAAGUUUAAGCAACAGCUGUGAAGAUAGUGAGAUUCAUUAUAACGCCCAUUCUCGUUGACUAUUAUCUACUUUUGAAGACCUAUAAUGUCUCCAAUGUUUUGGUUUUGUCGGUUUUGUUCUUUAUUGUUUUUUUCAAUUUUAUUAUAACUGAUGAUAUAGGCAAUUCUAUUAGAGAUAGCGGGAGGCAUUAUGGUAACCAUUGUUGAUCACCUUGUAUUAUGCUUUUACAUUAUCUAUUAUGUCCACCCUUUUGAUUUGAUUGACUCUGUUCUGUUAUGUCACAUUUGGUUCUACUCCCUUCCAAAAAAGUAAUAAGAACUGUGGGAGCAACAAAACCCAAAAUGGGUAAUUGUCAUUGUACAAAA